GAUGAACGCUGGCGGCGUGCCUAAUACAUGCAAGUCGAGCGAACAGACGAGGAGCUUGCUCCUCUGACGUUAGCGGCGGACGGGUGAGUAACACGUGGAUAACCUACCUAUAAGACUGGGAUAACUUCGGGAAACCGGAGCUAAUACCGGAUAAUAUAUUGAACCGCAUGGUUCAAUAGUGAAAGACGGUUUUGCUGUCACUUAUAGAUGGAUCCGCGCCGCAUUAGCUAGUUGGUAAGGUAACGGGUUACCAAGGCAACGAUGGGUAGCCGACCUGAGAGGGUAGUAGGCCACACUGGAACUGAGACACCGUCCAGACUACUACGGGAGGCAGCAGUAGGGAAUCUUCCGCAAUGGGCGAAAGCUUGACGGAGCAACGCCGCGUGAGUGAUGAAGGUCUUCGGAUCGUAAAACUCUGUUAUUAGGGAAGAACAAAUGUGUAAGUAACUAUGCACGUCUUGACGGUACCUAAUCAGAAAGCCACGGCUAACUACGUG
rnacentral:rRNA from 1 species